rnacentral:rRNA from 1 species
AUUGAACGCUGGCGGCAUGCCUAACACAUGCAAGUCGAACGGCAGCACAGCAGUAGCAAUACUGUGGGUGGCGAGUGGCGGACGGGUGAGGAAUACGUCGGAAUCUGCCCAGUCGUGGGGGAUAACUAGCCGAAAGGUUAGCUAAUACCGCAUACGACCGAGAGGUGAAAGCGGGGACCGCAAGGCCUCGCGCGAUUGGAUGAGCCGACGUCGGAUUAGCUAGUUGGCGGGUAAAGGCCCACCAAGGCGACGAUCCGUAGCUGGUCUGAGAGGAUGAUCAGCCACACUGGAACUGAGACACGGUCCAGACUCCUACGAGAGGCAGCAGUGGGGAAUAUUGGACAAUGGGCGCAAGCCUGAUCCAGCAAUGCCGCGUGUGUGAAGAAGGCCUUCGGGUUGUAAAGCACUUUUAUCAGGAACGAAAAGCGUUGGAUUAAUACUCUGACGUGCUGACGGUACCUGAGGAAUAAGCACCGGCUAACUUCGUG